rnacentral:lncRNA from 1 species
AAUAAAGCUCAAAGAUAAUAGCUUAAAUAUAUAAAAAUUUGAGAGAAAAAAAUUAUAUAAAAAGAUAUGAAUUUCUAAAGUUUGAAAAGAAGAAAUCCUUUGUGGAAAAAAUAUGUUUUGAGGUAUUUUUCUACAAUUUGGGCAUUUUAUAUAAAGAUAAUAGGUUUUGAGAGCUAAGACUUUGUAUAUAAGUUAAAAGUGGAAUAAAUCACUUAUUAGACCUUAGCUAA